rnacentral:rRNA from 1 species
ACGCGCGGAACCUUACCUACUCUUGACAUCCUAAGAAGAGCUCAGAGAUGAGCUUGUGCCUUCGGGAACUUAGAGACAGGUGCUGCAUGGCUGUCGUCAGCUCGUGUUGUGAAAUGUUGGGUUAAGUCCCGCAACGAGCGCAACCUAUCCUUGUUGCCAGCGACUUGGUCGGGAACUCAAAGGAGACUGCCAGUGAUAAACUGGAGGAAGGUGGGAGUGACGUCAAGUCAUCAUGGCCCUUACGAGUAGG